CAAUAGCGUAUAUUAAAGUUGUUGCAGUUAAAAAGCUCGUAGUUGGAUUUCUGCUGAGGACGAUCGGUCCGCCCACUGGGUGAGUAUCUGGCUCGGCCUUGGCAUCUUCUUGGAGAACGUUGCUGCACUUGACUGUGUGGCGCGGUAUCCAGGACUUUUACUUUGAGGAAAUUAGAGUGUUUCAAGCAGGCGCACGCCUUGAAUACAUUAGCAUGGAAUAAUGAGAUAGGACCUUGGUUCUAUUUUGUUGGUUUCUAGAGCUGAGGUAAUGAUUAAUAGGGAUAGUUGGGGGCAUUCGUAUUUAACUGUCAGAGAUGAAAUUCUUGGAUUUGUUAAAGACGGACUACUGCGAAAGCAUUUGCCAAGGAUGUUUUCAUUGA
rnacentral:rRNA from 1 species